UUACAGAAUUCUGUUGGUCAGAAAACGACAUUGUAACAUAUCAGAGAGGCCCUGGCCAAUGUUUUUGCUCUAUCGCCUAAGCUUGGGGGCCCCCAUUUCGGCCCAUUGUGGUUGGGGCCCCCGGGUUCUCCCGGUCUGAGCCCAUAGUAGUUACGCCACUGAUUGAGAGUUGAGCAAGAGUGGGUAGUAGCGAAGUAGUUGUAGUUCGCUACUGUAGCGAACUACAAUUUUCAAGUAGCCAGCAGUUUUUGACUACUUUUUUAAAACAGUAGUUGUAGUUAUAGCGAACUACAUUUUGCCUAAAAG